CCCCGCCUCCACUACAGCUGACAGGUAGCCGUCGGGCUAGAGCUUAGCUCAUUGGCUGAUGCCGUCAGCCAAAAAGCUAGCCCUGCAGGCGUUACCUCUAUGCUGGCUGUAGGGAAUGUGGGUAGCAGCACCAUGGAGGUGGGGCUGCCAGGGAUCUUCUGGCACUAUAGCCACUACAACACACUGUAGUGCUUAUGGUAUUUGGAGUGCUCCUUUAAUG